rnacentral:rRNA from 1 species
AACGAACGCUGGCGGCAGGCCUAACACAUGCAAGUCGAGCGAGGACUUCGGUCCUAGCGGCGGACGGGUGAGUAACGCGUGGGAACGUGCCCUUUGCUUCGGAAUAGCCCUGGGAAACUGGGAGUAAUACCGGAUGAGCCCUUUGGGGGAAAGAUUUAUCGGCGAAGGAUCGGCCCGCGUUGGAUUAGGUAGUUGGUGGGGUAAUGGCCUACCAAGCCGACGAUCCAUAGCUGGUUUGAGAGGAUGAUCAGCCACACUGGGACUGAGACACGGCCCAGACUCCUACGGGAGGCAGCAGUGGGGAAUCUUAGACAAUGGGGGAAACCCUGAUCUAGCCAUGCCGCGUGAGCGAUGAAGGCCUUAGGGUUGUAAAGCUCUUUCAGCUGGGAAGAUAAUGACGGUACCAGCAGAAGAAGCCCCGGCUGACUCCGUG